AUCCCUGUGGCUCAGUUGGUAGAGCAUGGUGUUAGCAAUGCCAGGGUUGUGGGUUCGAUUCCCACGGGGGGCC
rnacentral:tRNA from 1 species